AUUGAACGCUGGCGGCAGGCCUAACACAUGCAAGUCGAGCGGAUGAAGGGAGCUUGCUCCUGGAUUCAGCGGCGGACGGGUGAGUAAUGCCUAGGAAUCUGCCUGGUAGUGGGGGAUAACGUCCGGAAACGGGCGCUAAUACCGCAUACGUCCUGAGGGAGAAAGUGGGGGAUCUUCGGACCUCACGCUAUCAGAUGAGCCUAGGUCGGAUUAGCUAGUUGGUGGGGUAAAGGCCUACCAAGGCGACGAUCCGUAACUGGUCUGAGAGGAUGAUCAGUCACACUGGAACUGAGACACGGUCCAGACUCCUACGGGAGGCAGCAGUGGGGAAUAUUGGACAAAGGGCGAAAGCCUGAUCCAGCCAUGCCGCGUGUGUGAAGAAGGUCUUCGGAUUGUAAAGCACUUUAAGUUGGGAGGAAGGGCAGUAAGUUAAUAUCUUGCUGUUUUGACGUUACCAACAGAAUAAGCACCGGCUAACUUCGUG
rnacentral:rRNA from 1 species